UAAACUGAUAUAAAUACGUGGAAAACGCUCCCGUGAGACUUACCCUUCUCCGUUUGAUACGACUAGUUUCGAGAGAGAUAAUCCUGUUAGAACGGAGAAUCGCGAAUCGGAAACCGAAUUUUCAAGAUUUCCACCGAUCAGCUUUGAAGGAAAAGAACGGCCAUCGUAAAGGUAGAAACGAAUACGCGUUAUCGGAUCGAUUGGAUCGCGACGAGAAAAAGAAGAAAACAUGCAACAACGUCGUUUAUACCCCUCUGCAACCGUCUCGUGUUCGAUAUCCAAAAAGAAAAAAAUGGAAAGAAACUAAAAAGUUUCCCUCGGAAAGGAAGCGAUCCAAGCAGAUAACGGAGACGCGUAAUCUCGAUGCUACUGCAGCUAGAAACAGCCGUUGCGGACGUAUCAAAAUAUUCGAGCUCUGCAUAAUUUCUCGUGAUAAGUGACAGGCUAAAAGCUGUCCCUAAGUCGAAUCGACCGAAUGUCUGGUUUAGUUUAAAACUAGAUCUUAGACGUUGAUUCUUUUGAGAGCAACAUUGUCCGUCGGUUAGGAAGAGGAGUAAGAGACACGUGCCACUUAUCCACCGUGUUAUCGUACGACUCAUGGCUGACUAUAGAUACCAGAAGCUGAACACUCGAGUAUGUAUAUACGUCGGGAUGAUUUUCGGCUGCGUAUGUACGCAUACACGCGUAUCGCGAUCGCUGCGUUCGUCUCUCGAGUCGGCUUUUCAUCCGUUUUUAAGCGAGCCGUGGAGAUUUUUCAAGAUCGCUCGACGCGCGCUAUUAACUAACUGCGCCAUUAAAAGCGUUAUAUCUUCCUAUCUUUGUUUAUUACUUCUACGAAACGAAACAUUUCUUAUUUGGAUUCAAGGAGUAACAUUUUUUACGAUGUAAGACAACAUCGUCCCUUAACUGUACGUGCGAACCCCUAGCACACAUUAUUUCUUCCUUCGCGGAAAAUGCACCGACGUUGGACUUUAUUUUUCUUUUUCUUCUUUUUUUCUCAUUUACGUAGGAGCGAAUCCCCUGUAGAGGGCUUAGAAAAGGGAAAGUAACCAGAGGAGAAGCUUAGAGAUGCUUUUGACGAGUUCUACUCUCUUGACGUUCUAUGGGGCCCAGCAUGGUGAAUGACAGAGUGUAUCAUUUUAUGCAGACGAGUAUCUUCAUUUCGCGUGGUUCUCUCUUCUCUGAACUUAAUAAUAUCGCAUUGAGUGUGAAAAACGGUUCAUGAUAGUCACAAAAUGACACGAUUAAUAACAGCCAAUACUAUCAACAAGAAACUAUGUUAUUUUUUUUCUACCAGACCUGUAUGUAUAUACGACGAAUUAACACUCAUCCUUAUCGAAGAAGAUAUCGAGCGAAACGAUAUACUAAAAGAGUCGAUGGUAUCUCAACAGAGAGAAAUAUCUUCUCAAUGACUUACGAAAUAUGUAGAUCUCGCGGUUUUAUUCGGCUUAACGAUGACGCGAAACAUGCAACGGUACAGAGCGAUAUAAAGACAGAAGGGAAGCGAUUCUGGCACCGACAGAGAUCGCCAGAUACGCCUAAAACUGAGUUGCGUCAAUGUGCGGCUGGAAAAAUGAUUACCAUCGUGCGGUCAGUUUGUUUUAUUUACAAUGCGUGCCUCGUGUUGCAUAAACUUGUACGUGUUUACCUUCUUCCAGGUGUUUUGGGGUUACGUAUACGGCCAACCGAUCAUCGAAUCUUAUUCAUGGACUCAAUUGGGUUGCAAUUAAUCGACCAACAAAUUUCAAGAGGGAAACGCGCAUAUGCCGCCUGUCAGAAUUCGCUUUCUCAUGGAUGCGAGAAUCGAUUUGAAAUGAUUAGCGAUAAUGUCAAGGGAGUUCAGAGGCACGUCCGUGAUGAGUCCGUGACUGGCGUACCUUCUGUGCCGACGUGGUUAAGUUGCUCCAGUACGCCAAUACGUAACCACGAAUCCACCUAAUUGAAGUAACCACAAGGCGCAACGCGCUACGUUAUACGGCAAUGCAAUCGAGCCAGGCAAAGGUAGACAGACCUGCCACAGGUACAGAAAGAGAGAGAGAGAGAGAGAGAGAGAGAAGGAGAAAUAGGAGGAGAGAGAGAGAAAGAGAGAGAGAGAAAAUGGGAGGACCUGGUUCGAAGAAGACGCGAGGACGAAGGGAGAAAAGUCCCAAUAAUCCAUGAUGGAUAAGUAAUAUUAGUACUAUACGUCCACGGUACGAUUUUCUCUCCGUUAGGUCGACGAAUAACCAUCUGCCGCUUGUCUUCCGACGUCUAGUAUUUCCAUUUAGACGUAGCAUUUCGAGCUUCGAACAGUACGGAAUGCUAAGCGCACUCGACGAUUCUUUACUCUUAAAGUGGAAAUCACAUAUGAAUUAUAAUAUCAAAUAAAGAAUAACGAAAAAAAAAAUACUUUCAAUUUAAAAAAUACAGAACAAACGGGAAAAUAAUUUGUUAUGCAUAGUAUAAAUAUAUUUAUAUGGAUAUUUUAUAAUGUAAUUGCGUCUACAUAUCGUGACACGUAUAAUGCUAAUAAAUGCCACCUCUUGACUGGAUACAGAAUGUAAAAAUCGAUCGAUGAUCUCUUUAUAAUGCUCACUCAUGCACCGUCCCACACAUAAUAUCAUGGUCGAUCGAAUUCUUUGAAAAACUUUUCGAUCGCAGAAAAAUGCAUUAUAUUUUAGAAAUUUGUCUCACAUGUAUCCAGUUCACGUAUAGUAAGAAGUUUUUAGAAAAACAAUAGGCAUUGAUUUUUUAUUUAUCAAAUAAUAUAAUAUUCGUUGAAAUAAAUAAUACGUAAACACGCAAUUUUACUGGGAAAUAAGCUCAAUGCUUUCGACCAGCUAUGACCUUCGUCCAUACAAUCGUACAUGUAUGUAUUUUCAUGAAAAGUUAUAUGUAUACAUGUAUAACUAUUUUUUACAAGAAUUUCAUACCGCGUUUGAUAUAGUGCAGCCAAUAUUACUAGCAAAUUUAUUCACUGAAAUCUUAUAAAAUAUAAAUGCCUGUUAUUACUAACCUCUUGUUCGUCGUUUUAAUACAUCGUAUCAGUGUGCAUCUGUAACGCUGAUAUGUACAAAAUUAGAUGUAGAAAGUUUUGCCAAACCAAAUUCGCUACUAUAAAAACAAUUUGCGUGAUUUAGCUGCUCAAUUUCGAAAAUGUACCAAAAAUGAAUAUGUCAAAGAAAAAUAAUAUUUCCAUGUCUGUCGUCA